rnacentral:piRNA from 1 species
UCGUGUUUUUUUUCCAAAUAC